rnacentral:lncRNA from 1 species
CAUAAAUGUAUUUUUUUAUGAAGUGAACAGUGGAGUUGAUGAGCUUAAAAUUGAAAUUCAGAUUCUGGUUAAAUAAGAAGUCUUAAUUUAUUUUAGUUUCAUAGUAUUUUAAAACAUCUGAUUUACAUAAGUAGCAGCAAAUGGUGAUUCAUGUUUUUAACUUUUCAUUUUGAAAUAUUUUUUAGAUUCAUAGAACUGUUCCAAAGGUAGCAGAGAAUCCUGUAAUCCUUCACCUAGCUUCCUCUAAUGUUAAUAUUUUACAUAAUCAUGAUGUAGUAUUAGCAAAACCAAGAAACUAUCAUUGAUAUAUUAUUUAAAUUUUAUUCUUACUUCACCAGGUUUUCCACUAAAUUUUUUUCUAUUCCAGAAUUCGAACUAAGAUACCACUUUACAUUUAUUUAGCUGUCAUUUGUCUUAGUCUCUAACAGUCUGCCACAGUAUCCUUGUCUUUUUUUCUUUCAUGACCUUGAAAUUUUUGAAGAGUAAUGGUCAGAAAUUGUGGAUGAUAUCUCAGUUUGUCUGAUAUUUUCUCAUGAUUAGCCUGAGGUUAUGAAUUUUUGAAAAUACCACCAUAGUGAUGAGCCCUUCUCUUUGUAUUAUGUCUGGGAGUGCUUUGUUAAGCUAUAUCUGCUAAGGUUUUCUACUGUAGGUUAAUAUUGGUUCUCUAGCAUUGUUGUAAAUGAAUGGAUGAGUAUAUACAAGUUUAUAGCCUCAAGGGAAAAGAGAUUAGUCUUUGCUUCCUGGAGAGAUGCAUAUGAAAGAACAUGUGGCUAUGUUGAAACCACCACAAGAAUUAGUACAUUUUGGGACUUAUGAGGUAGCACAAAAAACCAGUUUCUCACUUAAUUUAGUUUUAACCAAUUGUUAACAUUGAGUGGAUAUUGCCUGCAAUAACUAUUACUAUGGUGUUCUAAUGUUGUGCCUGUUCUUUUGCCUAUCCCACACUGCCUUGAUUAAGGUAGUAAACCUUGAUAUUGGGUAAUGUGAGACUUCCAAAUUUUUUCUUUUAAAG